CUUCGAAAAGGGCAAACCCGACCGAAAGGCGGGGACGCAAAGUCGCUGGUCUAAAGAGCCUUGUGCUCCAUGACCGAGGGAUUGCCGAG
rfam:Betaproteobacteria bacterium RIFCSPLOWO2_02_64_14 rifcsplowo2_02_sub10_scaffold_1215, whole genome shotgun sequence.